rnacentral:siRNA from 1 species
GUAAACUGUUAGCCAAAUCAAUGG